rnacentral:rRNA from 1 species
CCUACGGGAGGCUGCAGUGAGGAAUAUUGGUCAAUGGGCGCAAGCCUGAACCAGCCAAGUCGCGUGAGGGAAGACGGCCCUACGGGUUGUAAACCUCUUUUGCCGGGGAGCAAGCCUGAGCACGUGUGCCCAGGCGGAGAGUACCCGGAGAACAAGCAUCGGCUAACUCCGUGCCCGCAGACGCGGUACUACGGAGGAUGCGAGCGUUAUCCGGAUGUAUUGGGUUUAAAGGGUGAGAAGGCGGGCUGUUAAGCCUGCGGUAAAAAUGCAGGGCUCAACCCUGUCGAGCCGUCGGAACUGGCAGCCUUGAGUGGGCGAGAAGUAUGCGGAAUGCGUGGUGUAGCGGUGAAAUGCAUAGAUAUCACGCAGAACGCCGAUUGCGAAGGCAGCAUACCGGCGCCCGACUGACGCUGAGGCACGAAAGCGUGGGGAUCGAACAGGAUUAGAUACCCGAGUAGUC